rnacentral:ncRNA from 1 species
AAGGCCUGAUGUGUGUGAGAUUACCCGCUGAAUUUAAGCAUAUAAGUAAGCGGAGGAAAAGAAACUAACUAGGAUUCCCUUAGUAAUGGCGAAUGAACAGGGAUCAGCUCAGUGCCAAAUCGGAAUCACUUGUGGUUCUGAAAUGUGGCUUGAAGGCAGUACCAGUGGCAUCGCGGACGAAAGUCUCUUGGAAAAGAGCGUCAUAGAGGGUGAGAAUCCCGUGAGUCGUUCGCCGUUUGUCACGUACGGUCUGCGUUCUAACGAGUCGCGUUCCUUGGGAUUGGAGCGUAAACGGUGGUAAAUUUCAUCCAAAGCAAAAUAUAUACUCGAGACCGAUAGCACAAAAGUACCGUGAGGGAA